rnacentral:rRNA from 1 species
UACGUAGGGUGCGAGCGUUGUCCGGAAUUAUUGGGCGUAAAGAGCUUGUAGGCGGUUUGUCGCGUCGGGAGUGAAAACACGGGGCUUAACCCCGUGCCUGCUUCCGAUACGGGCAGACUAGAGGUAUGCAGGGGAGACUGGAAUUCCUGGUGUAGCGGUGAAAUGCGCAGAUAUCAGGAGGAACACCGAUGGCGAAGGCAGGUCUCUGGGCAUUAACUGACGCUGAGGAGCGAAAGCAUGGGGAGCGAACAGG